ACCUGCCGCUUAUUCGGGGAUAGCCUUUCGAAAGAAAGAUUAAUACCGGAUGGCAUAAUUAUUCCNCGNGGGAUAAUUAUUAAAGAAUUUCGGUUGUCGAUGGGGAUGCGUUCCAUUAGGCAGUUGGCGGGGUAACGGCCCACCAAACCUACGAUGGAUAGGGGUUCUGAGAGGAAGGUCCCCCACAUUGGAACUGAGACACGGUCCAAACUCCUACGGGAGGCAGCAGUGAGGAAUAUUGGUCAAUGGACGAGAGUCUGAGCCAGCCAAGUAGCGUGAAGGAUGACUGCCCUAUGGGUUGUAAACUUCUUUUACAAAGGAAUAAAGUCGGGUAUGGAUACCCGUUUGCAUGUACUUUAUGAAUAAGGAUCGGCUAACUCCGUGCCAGCAGCCGCGGUAACACGGAGGAUCCGAGCGUUAUCCGGAUUUAUUGGGUUUAAAGGGAGCGUAGAUGGAUGUUUAAGUCAGUUGUGAAGGUUAGCGGCUCAACCGUAAAAUUGCAGUUGAUACUGGAUAUCUUGAGUGCAGUUGAGGCAGGCGGAAUUCGUGGUGUAGCGGUGAAAUGCUUAGAUAUCACGAAGAACUCCGAUUG
rnacentral:rRNA from 1 species